AUUGAACGCUGGCGGCAUGCCUUACACAUGCAAGUCGAACGGCAGCGCGGGAGCAAUCCUGGCGGCGAGUGGCGAACGGGUGAGUAAUACAUCGGAACGUGCCCAAUCGCGGGGGAUAACGCAGCGAAAGCUGUGCUAAUACCGCAUACGAUCUACGGAUGAAAGCAGGGGAUCGCAAGACCUUGCGCGAAUGGAGCGGCCGAUGGCAGAUUAGGUAGUUGGUGAGGUAAAGGCUCACCAAGCCUUCGAUCUGUAGCUGGUCUGAGAGGACGACCAGCCACACUGGGACUGAGACACGGCCCAGACUCCUACGGGAGGUAGCAGUGGGGAAUUUUGGACAAUGGGCGAAAGCCUGAUCCAGCCAUGCCGCGUGCAGGAUGAAGGCCUUCGGGUUGUAAACUGCUUUUGUACGGAACGAAACGGUCUUUUCUAAUAAAGAAGGCUAAUGACGGUACCGUAAGAAUAAGCACCGGCUAACUACGUG
rnacentral:rRNA from 1 species